GGAGGGGUGGCCGAGAGGCCGAAGGCGGCCGCUUGCUAAGCGGCAGAGGGGCUAAAACCCCUCCGAGGGUUCGAAUCCCUCCCCCUCCGCCA
rnacentral:tRNA from 3 species